rnacentral:rRNA from 1 species
CGAACGCUGGCGGCAGGCUUAACACAUGCAAGUCGAGCGGACCUUUCGGGGUCAGCGGCGGACGGGUGAGUAACGCGUGGGAACGUGCCUUCCGGUUCGGAAUAACCCUGGGAAACUAGGGCUAAUACCGGAUACGCCCUUAUGGGGAAAGGUUUACUGCCGGAAGAUCGGCCCGCGUCUGAUUAGCUAGUUGGUGGGGUAACGGCCUACCAAGGCGACGAUCAGUAGCUGGCCUGAGAGGAUGAUCAGCCACACUGGGACUGAGACACGGCCCAGACUCCUACGGGAGGCAGCAGUGGGGAAUUUUGGACAAUGGGCGAAAGCCUGAUCCAGCAAUGCCGCGUGGGUGACGAAGGCCUCGGUUGUAAAGCCGUUUUCUGGAGGAAGAUGAUGACGGUACUCCAGGAAGAAGCACCGGCGUAACUACGUGCCAGCAGCCGCGGUAAUCUGAUGGCGCGAGG